AUUCUCUCUUGGGGCACAUAUACUAAAAUUGGAAUGAUAGGAGAGAAGGUUGGCAUGGCCCUAUGCAAGGAUGACAUGCAAAUUUUGUGAAUCAUUCUAUACUUGU
rnacentral:snRNA from 1 species